GAUGAACGCUGGCGGCGUGCCUAAUACAUGCAAGUCGAGCGAACAGAUGAGGAGCUUGCUCCUCUGACGUUAGCGGAGGACGGGUGAGUAACACGUGGAUAACCUACCUAUAAGACUGGGAUAACUUCGGGAAACCGGAGCUAAUACCGGAUAAUAUAUUGAACCGCAUGGUUCAAUAGUGAAAGACGGUUUUGCUGUCACUUAUAGAUGGAUCCGCGCCGGAUUAGCUAGUUGGUAAGGUAACGGCUUACCAAGGCAACGAUGCGUAGCCGACCUGAGAGGGUGAUCGGCCACCCUGGAACUGAGCCACGGUCCAGACUCCUACGGGAGGCAGCAGUAGGGAAUCUUCCGCAAUGGGCGAAAGCCUGACGGAGCAACGCCGCGUGAGUGAUGAAGGUCUUCGGAUCGUAAAACUCUGUUAUUAGGGAAGAACAAAUGUGUAAGUAACUAUGCCCGUCUUGACGGUACCUAAUCAGAAAGCCACGGCUAACUACGUG
rnacentral:rRNA from 1 species